rnacentral:sRNA from 1 species
GGAAAAGAUCUGUUAACCCAUGAUCACCAGGAUGAGUCGUCUGAUCUGGCCGGCAAAGGUGGUGUCCCCUCCUCCCUCGCCACUCCAUGUGCGUUCCUCCUGAAGCUGCACGCUCAGUAGUAGAGGACGGCCUUCCCCAAAUGAAAUCACCCUAAACCCAGUUAAUCAAAAGACAAAAUCCCACUAAAGGUAAAGAUAAAAUCAGGGUACAGGUAAAGCCCAAAGACUUCACAAUGAUGAAAAGUUGAAACACCAAUUU